CUGCGCUAGGCUGGCCGCCGUCUCGUGGCGUCAGGAACCCGGUGGAAUUCCGGGGCGGUUCCGCCACUGUGAGCGGCGCGGUUCGUCGUGCGCCGACAGCCAGAUACUGGCCGCGGGGCACCCGACCGG
rnacentral:ncRNA from 2 species